rnacentral:rRNA from 1 species
AAGCCAACAGGGAUUGCCUCAGUAACGGCGAGUGAAGCGGCAAAAGCUCAAAUUUGAAAUCCCUCGGGAGUUGUAAUUUGAAGGAGGUAGGCUACGCGCGGCAACGGCCCAAGUCCAUUGGAACAUGGCGCCAGGGAGGGUGAGAGCCCCGUCCGGCCACGCGCCGCGUCCGCAGUCUGCCCCCGAC